rnacentral:rRNA from 1 species
UACAGAGGGUGCGAGCGUUAAUCGGAAUUACUGGGCGUAAAGCGUGCGUAGACGGUUAUUUAAGUCGGGUGUGAAAGCCCCGGGCUCAACCUGGGAAUUGCAUUCGAGACUGCGUAGCUAGGGUGCGGAAGAGGGAAGCGGAAUUUCCGGUGUAGCGGUGAAAUGCGUAGAUAUCGGAAGGAACACCAGUGGCGAAAGCGGCUCCUGGUCCAGCACCGACGUCAGGCACGAAAGCGUGGGGAGCGAACAGG